GUGGAAGGCUCGCUGAAGGAGCCCCAGGAGACGUCACACAGCGGCAGUGAUAAAGAGCACAGGGAUGUGGAGAGAUCUCAAGAACAAGAAUCUGAAUCACAAAGACACCAUGUGGAUGACGGCAGGAGGCACAGAGCUCACCACGAGCCUGACCGGCUUUCCAGAAGGAGUGAGGAUGAGCAGAGAUGGGGGAAAGGACCUGGCCAAGACAGAGGGAAGAAGGGGAGCCAGGACAGCGGGGCUCCGGGGGAGGCCAUGGAGAGACUGGGAAGAGCGCAGAGGUGUGACGACAGUCCAGCACCCAGAAAAGAGCGACUGGCAAACAAGGACCGGCCAGCCUUGCAGCUGUAUGAUCCAGGAGCUCACUUCCGAGCGCGAGAGUGUGGCGGAAACAGGAGGAUCUGCAAGGCAGAAGGUUCGGGGACUGGUCCUGAGAAGAGGGAAGAGGCAGAGUGA
rnacentral:lncRNA from 1 species